GUAGGGAUGGCUCAGCAGUUAAGAGCACUGCUUGCUUUUCCAGAGGACCCAGGUUCAAUUCCUAGUACUCACA
rnacentral:tRNA from 1 species